UAAACUGGUUUUUAACUGAACAGAUUAAGGAAAAUUAUUAUUGCUUUUGAAUUUUCAUACUAUCAGGUGGCUGUAACUUCAUGUAUUAGCCAAUGAUUGCGAAAUAAUGUUGUUGUAGAUAUAUAUGUAUAUACACUUAUAUAAUGUAUGAUUUGGUUUUGGCUGUUUUGAUUUAUCAGUGACUGGACCUGUACCAUGUGUCAUGCAUAAACUUUGUGGUGGACCUUGCUUAGCUCAUACUUUAAUUCAAUCAUAUCUCACUCUUCCUACCUUUUCUUCUUUAAUUCCUCUUUUCCCUGUUUAAACGUUUCAAUCAGUUCAGUUACGGUGGCCGAACAUUUAUCUCAAUAUACGUGUUCCAUUCCGCCCUCUCAUCGUCCGCCACGUCACCCGUUUCAGAUUUUAUGUCUUCUCUCC
rnacentral:lncRNA from 1 species